AUUGAACACUGGCGGCAUGCCUUACACAUGCAAGUCGAACGGUAACAGGUUAAGCUGACGAGUGGCGAACGGGUGAGUAAUGUAUCGGAACGUGCCCAGUCGUGGGGGAUAACUGCUCGAAAGAGCAGCUAAUACCGCAUACGACCUGAGGGUGAAAGCGGGGGAUCGCAAGACCUCGCGCGAUUGGAGCGGCCGAUAUCAGAUUAGGUAGUUGGUGAGGUAAAGGCUCACCAAGCCGACGAUCUGUAGCUGGUCUGAGAGGACGACCAGCCACACUGGGACUGAGACACGGCCCAGACUCCUACGGGAGGCAGCAGUGGGGAAUUUUGGACAAAGGGCGCAAGCCUGAUCCAGCCAUGCCGCGUGCGGGAAGAAGGCCUUCGGGUUGUAAACCGCUUUUGUCAGGGAAGAAAAGGUUCUGGCUAAUACCUGGGACUCAUGACGGUACCUGAAGAAUAAGCACCGGCUAACUACGUG
rnacentral:rRNA from 1 species